rfam:Camelus ferus unplaced genomic scaffold scaffold2472, whole genome shotgun sequence.
GAGGGUAUAGCUCAGUGGUAGAGUUGGUGCUCAGCAUGUACAAGGUCCUGGGUUCAAUCCCCAGUACCUCCA